AUUGAACGCUGGCGGCGUGCUUAACACAUGCAAGUCGAUCGGUAACGCGGGGGCAACCCUGGCGACGAGAGGCGGACGGGUGAGGAACGCUUGGGAAUCUGCCUAUCAGCGGGGGACAACACGGGGAAACUCGUGCUAAUACCGCAUACGCUCUACGGAGGAAAGCCGGGGACCGCAAGGCCUGGCACUGAUAGAUGAGCCCAAGCCGGAUUAGCUAGUUGGCGGGGUAACGGCCCACCAAGGCGACGAUCCGUAGCUGGUCUGAGAGGACGAUCAGCCAAACUGGGACUGAGACACGGCCCAGACUCCUACGGGAGGCAGCAGUGGGGAAUAGUGGACAAUGGGGGAAACCCUGAUCCAGCGACGCCGCGUGGGUGAAGAAGGCCUGCGGGUUGUAAAGCCCUUUCGGUAGGGACGAAAGCUCUCGACCUAACACGUCGGGAGGUUGACUUAACCUACAAAAGAAGCACCGGCUAACCCUGUGCCAGCCGCCGCAGUAACAC
rnacentral:rRNA from 1 species